rnacentral:rRNA from 1 species
AUCGUGAAACCGCGAACGGCUCAUUAUAACAGCUAUAUUUUACUUGAUUUUGAUAAUUCACUUGGAUAACUGUGGUAAUUCUAGAGCURAUACAUGCACCUAAGCUCUGACCUUACGGGAAGAGUGCACUUAUUAGAACAAAACCAGGCGGCUUCGGUCGUUUGGCGUUGACUCAGAAUAAUUAAGCUGAUCGCACGAUCUUGUAUSGGCGACGUAUCAUUCAAGUAUCUGCCUUAUCAACUUUCGAUGGUAGUGUAUUUGACUACCAUGGUGGUGACGGGUAACGGAGAAUAAGGGUUCGACUCCGGAGAAGGGGCCUGAGAAAUGGCCACUAUGUCUAAGGAUAGCAGCAGGCGCGCAAAUUACCCACUCUCAGAAUGAGGAGGUAGUGACGAGGAAUAACGAGACCGUUCUCUACGAGGCCGGUCAUCGGAAUGGGUAUAAUUUAAACCCUUGGAACGAGUAUCUAUGAGAGGGCAAGUCUGGUGCCAGCAGCCGCGGUAAUUCCAGCUCUCAAAAUGCAUAUAAUUAUUGCUGCGGUUAAAAAGCUCGUAGUUGGAUAUGUGCUCUUGACUUAGUCCACCUUCGGGUGCGUACUAGGCUCUUGGGCUUUGUGCCUGYUUAACGUCGUAGGCUUUAUUGUUUGCGGCGGGUAGCUGGUGAUUUUACUUUGAAUAAAUCAGAGUGCUUCACACAAGCGGUUUGCUUGAAUGUUUUUGCAUGGAAUAAUAGAAGAGGAUUUUGGUUGGAUUUUAUUGGUUUUAGAGAUUGAAAUAAUGGUUAACAGAGACUGACGGGGGCAUUCGUAUCGCUGCGUGAGAGGUGAAAUUCUUGGACCGCAGCGCGACGUACAACAGCGAAAGCAUUUGCCAAGAAAGUCUUCAUUAAUCAAGAACG